UACGAAGGGGGCUAGCGUUGUUCGGAAUUACUGGGCGUAAAGGGCGCGUAGGCGGCGUGUCAAGUCAGGCGUGAAAGCCCCGGGCUCAACCUGGGAACCGCGCUUGAGACUGGCAUGCUCGAGUUCGGGAGAGGAUGGUGGAAUUCCCAGUGUAGAGGUGAAAUUCGUAGAUAUUCGCAAGAACACCAGUGGCGAAGGCGGCUCACUGGCCCGGUACUUGACGCUGAGGUGCGAAAGCGUGGGGAGCAAACAGG
rnacentral:rRNA from 1 species